AAACGAGCACAUCUUGUAUUUCAGAAGGGUUGGGCCUCCGAUCGAAGCCCAAUUAAGAACUGCUUCUUUGCCUCGUUGGUUUUAGAAGUCCAGCCUGUAAUGCUUCUCUGCUCCGUCGUUAUCAGACUUUCGGGCGAAAUCACGCUGUAAGAUACAACAAAUCAACAUCUCCGGAAUGAGUGCAGAAGCACAAGGGAUUGCGCAUAUUUCAAAGCCACGGUUGAUGCGCAGCAACCUAAACCAGAGGGAGAGUCUUUGUAGUCCUAUUUGUAUGUAUUUCCUUAUUCUUUACUCUUGUGUUUCAAAUAUUUAUUUCAAUUCUUUGAAGGGGGAGCAUUUGGUGGAAAUAGAGGACUGAGACCGGUUCCACCAGAGAAAGGAGUUUUCCCAUUGGAUCACAUGCAUUUAUGUGACGUGGAGAAGAAGGAAUACCUCAAUUGUCUUAAAUCCGCUGGGCAUAAAUCCGAGGAGUGUAGACAUCUCUCUAAAAAGUACCUGGAGUGCCGAAUGGAGAAGAAUUUGAUGGCAAAGCAAGACAUGUCAGAACUUGGCUUUGGCAAAAAUGUUGAUGCUGGAACUAAAUCAGAGGAAAAGACAGAACAGACGAAAGAGAAAUGAAGAGUGAAUUACUUGCUGUGUACUUCUGAAUAGUCUGGCUGUGAAACUCCAGGCCGACAAUAGUCGAAUCUCCACAAUUUCUGUCAGUUCUAUGUGGAGGUGCACAUUUUUCCUCUCAACCUUUUGUAACGUUUUUAUUUCUUUCUUCUCCUGGAUCCUCUCUGAACUGUAGGAAAAAAAUGUAUAGGGAGAGGGGAGAGAACACGAAAGGAAACUGAGUUUACAAUGUUAUAAAUGAGAGAAUAAUCUUGUUUGGAAAUUGAUAUAA